ensembl:lncRNA SMAD3-AS1 SMAD3 antisense RNA 1
CCUUUCAACUCUGCCUGGCUGUAACCAGGAUCUCUUUCCACAACUAGUUUUACCAUGUCUACUUCAGCCUCAUUAAGGAGUUAACACUGACCAGUUGCUUCCUAGAAGCAAGUUUUAUGGCAAAGCAUCCCAAGGUGGGUCACCGAAUUUCAAGCUGGCAUUAGAGAAUCACAGGGCUGGUGCACGGAGAGCUGGCUCUCCAGCAAGGACGUCUGGCCUGGCCGGGAAUGAUUCAUUGAGCAAAAGGACAUGCCAGAGAAAAUGAGGAGGAUGUUCCAACCCAGGAGUGAGCCGACGGGUAUGCAGAGGCUGGAGCUGUCUCCUGCACAUGGGAUCAUGUCCCUGUGUUCCAGCUCUACAUGGGGUGCCCACCAGCUGCCCCACAGGGCCCUUAUCACAAACAUCACAAGCCUAUUUCACAAGCUCUUUUCUCCUUGAAAUGUUGAGAUCAAUAUAUCUCCACUGUUACUUA